CAGUCGCCGCGGUAAUACGUAGGUGGCAAGCGUUGUCCGGAAUUAUUGGGCGUAAAGCGCGCGCAGGUGGUUUAAUAAGUCUGAUGUGAAAGCCCACGGCUCAACCGUGGAGGGUCAUUGGAAACUGUUAAACUUGAGUGCAGGAGAGAAAAGUGGAAUUCCUAGUGUAGCGGUGAAAUGCGUAGAGAUUAGGAGGAACACCAGUGGCGAAGGCGGCUUUUUGGCCUGUAACUGACACUGAGGCGCGAAAGCGUGGGGAGCAAACAGGAUUAUAUACCCCUGUAGUCCCUGUCUCUUAUAC
rnacentral:rRNA from 1 species